rnacentral:misc_RNA from 1 species
AACGCACAUUGCGCCUCUCUUUACCGGGAGGCAUGCCUGUCUGAGCGUCAUUUAAACCAAUGAACAUAACUUGUUAGUUCGUGUUCGUAUUGAGUUCCGCCUUGGGCGCUACUUUGAAGCAAUUGGUCUAGAUUAGCGGACGAGAUCCUUCAGGACUAACCGCAAAUUCAGACGAAAUACUCUUUCUCAUUUGACCUCAGAUCAGGUAGGGAUACCGCCUGAACUUAA